AUUGAACGCUGGCGGCAGGCCUAACACAUGCAAGUCGAGCGGUAGCACAGAGAGCUUGCUCUCGGGUGACGAGCGGCGGACGGGUGAGUAAUGUCUGGGAAACUGCCUGAUGGAGGGGGAUAACUACUGGAAACGGUAGCUAAUACCGCAUAACGUCGCAAGACCAAAGUGGGGGACCUUCGGGCCUCAUGCCAUCAGAUGUGCCCAGAUGGGAUUAGCUAGUAGGUGGGGUAAUGGCUCACCUAGGCGACGAUCCCUAGCUGGUCUGAGAGGAUGACCAGCCACACUGGAACUGAGACACGGUCCAGACUCCUACGGGAGGCAGCAGUGGGGAAUAUUGCACAAUGGGCGCAAGCCUGAUGCAGCCAUGCCGCGUGUGUGAAGAAGGCCUUCGGGUUGUAAAGCACUUUCAGCGGGGAGGAAGGCGGUGAGGUUAAUAACCUCACCGAUUGACGUUACCCGCAGAAGAAGCACCGGCUAACUCCGUGCCAGCAGCCGCGGUAAUACGGAGGGUGCAAGCGUUAAUCGGAAUUACUGGGCGUAAAGCGCACGCAGGCGGUCUGUCAAGUCGGAUGUGAAAUCCCCGGGCUCAACCUGGGAACUGCAUUCGAAACUGGCAGGCUAGAGUCUUGUAGAGGGGGGUAGAAUUCCAGGUGUAGCGGUGAAAUGCGUAGAGGUCUGGAGGAAUACCGGUGGCGAAGGCGGCCCCCUGGACAAAGACUGACGCUCAGGUGCGAAAGCGUGGGGAGCAAACAGGAUUAGAUACCCUGGUAGUCCACGCUGUAAACGAUGUCGAUUUGGAGGUUGUGCCCUUGAGGCGUGGCUUCCGGAGCUAACGCGUUAAAUCGACCGCCUGGGGAGUACGGCCGCAAGGUUAAAACUCAAAUGAAUUGACGGGGGCCCGCACAAGCGGUGGAGCAUGUGGUUUAAUUCGAUGCAACGCGAAGAACCUUACCUGGUCUUGACAUCCACAGAACUUUCCAGAGAUGGAUUGGUGCCUUCGGGAACUGUGAGACAGGUGCUGCAUGGCUGUCGUCAGCUCGUGUUGUGAAAUGUUGGGUUAAGUCCCGCAACGAGCGCAACCCUUAUCCUUUGUUGCCAGCGGUCCGGCCGGGAACUCAAAGGAGACUGCCAGUGAUAAACUGGAGGAAGGUGGGGAUGACGUCAAGUCAUCAUGGCCCUUACGACCAGGGCUACACACGUGCUACAAUGGCAUAUACAAAGAGAAGCGACCUCGCGAGAGCAAGCGGACCUCAUAAAGUAUGUCGUAGUCCGGAUUGGAGUCUGCAACUCGACUCCAUGAAGUCGGAAUCGCUAGUAAUCGUAGAUCAGAAUGCUACGGUGAAUACGUUCCCGGGCCU
rnacentral:rRNA from 1 species